rnacentral:rRNA from 1 species
CAGCAGUCGCCGCGGGAAUACGUAGGUGGCGAGCGUUGUCCGGAAUUAUUGGGCGUAAGGGGCUCGCAGGCGGUUUCUUAAGUCUGAUGUGAAAGCCCCCGGCUCAACCGGGGAGGGUCAUUGGAAACUGGGAAACUUGAGUGCAGAAGAGGAGAGUGGAAUUCCACGUGAAGCGGUGAAAUGCGUAGAGAUGUGGAGGAACACCAGUGGCGAAGGCGACUCUCUGGUCUGUAACUGACGCUGAGGAGCGAAAGCGUGGGGAGCGAACAGGAUUAGAUACCCGUGUAGUCCCUGUCUCUUAUAC